rnacentral:sRNA from 1 species
AUCUCCACAUUAACAGAGUAUUUGAUUAUGCUGUCUGAACUGGCUAUGCGUCAGAUUUACUGAAGUAAAAACUUUCAACAACGGAUCUCUUGGCUCUCGCAUCGAUGAAGAACGCAGCGAAAUGCGAUAGGUAAUGUGAAUUGCAGAAUUCAGUGAAUCAUCGAAUCUUUGAACGCACAUUGCACCCUUUGGUAUUCCUUAGGGCAUGCCUGUUCGAGCGUCACUAGACACCUUAUCACAACAUUUGUGGUCUUGGCAGGAGUGAAUUUGCUAGUCUAUGAAAAUAUUCCAGCUGUCCACUGCGCUAAAAAUUAUGGGAAGGUUACCAGGCGUGAACAACAGACUUUAUAAAUGGUUGCAGGACCUGUAUCAGUCACAAGUUAUGUCUGGUCCUUACCUUAAGGACCCCCAUCCAAGAUGAACUAUGGGUUGACCUCGAAUCAGGUAGGGAUACCCGCUGAACUUAAGCAUAUCAAUAAGCG